rnacentral:rRNA from 1 species
GAUGAACGCUGGCGGCGUGCCUAAUACAUGCAAGUCGAGCGAACAGACGAGGAGCUUGCUCCUCUGACGUUAGCGGCGGACGGGUGAGUAACAUGUGGAUACCCUACCUAUAAGACUGGGAUAACUUCGGGAAACCGGAGCUAAUACCGGAUAAUAUAUUCAACCGCAUGGUUCAAUAGUGAAAGACGGUUUUGCUGUCACUUAUAGAUGGAUCCGCGCCGCAUUAGCUAGUUGGUAAGGUAACGGCUUACCAAGGCAACGAUGCGUAGCCGACCUGAGAGGGGGAUCGGCCACACUGGAACUGAGACACGGUCCAGACUCCUACGGGAGGCAGCAGUAGGGAAUCGUCCGCAAUGGGCGAAAGCCUGACGGAGCAACGCCGCGUGAGUGAUGAAGGGCUUCGGAUCGGAAAACGCUGUUAUGAGGGAAGAACAAAUGUGUAAGUAACUAUGCACGUCUUGACGGUACCUAAUCAGAAAGCCACGGCUAACUACGUG